AAGUCGUAACAAGGUCUCCGUUGGUGAACCAGCGGAGGGAUCAUUACCGAGUUUACAACUCCCAAACCCAUGUGAACAUACCUACUGUUGCUUCGGCGGGAUUGCCCCGGGCGCCUCGUGUGCCCCGGAUCAGGCGCCCGCCUAGGAAACUUAAUUCUUGUUUUAUUUUGGAAUCUUCUGAGUAGUUUUUACAAAUAAAUAAAAACUUUCAACAACGGAUCUCUUGGUUCUG
rnacentral:misc_RNA from 1 species